AAUCACUAUCACACUUGUCCAAAAUGAAGUAGUCCAACCCAAUCCCGUCUUAUCUCGGAAGCUAAACAGGGCUGGGCCUGGUUAGUACUUGGAUGGGAGACCACCUAGGGAGACCAGGUGCUGUAGGCG
rnacentral:rRNA from 1 species